rnacentral:rRNA from 1 species
GAUGAACGCUGGCGGCGUGCCUAAUACAUGCAAGUCGAGCGAACAGACGAGGAGCUUGCUCCUCUGACGUUAGCGGCGGACGGGUGAGUAACACGUGGAUAACCUACCUAUAAGACUGGGAUAACUUCGGGAAACCGGAGCUAAUACCGGAUAAUAUAUUGAACCGCAUGGUUCAAUAGUGAAAGACGGUUUUGCUGUCACUUAUAGAUGGAUCCGCGCUGCAUUAGCUAGUUGGUAAGGUAACGGCUUACCAAGGCAACGAUGCGUAGCCGACCUGAGAGGGUGGUCGGCCACACUGGAACUGAGCCACGGUCCAGACUCCUACGGGAGGCAGCAGUAGGGAAUCUUCCGCAAUGGGCGAAAGCCUGACGGAGCAACGCCGCGUGAGUGAUGAAGGUCUUCGGAUCGUAAAACUCUGUUAUUAGGGAAGAACAAAUGUGUAAGUAACUAUGCACGUCUUGACGGUACCUAAUCAGAAAGCCACGGCUAACUACGUG